GGAUGCUUUUUCUCUUGUAAUUUGGAGUCUUUUUUAUAGGCUUUAGGAGGGGAGGGAUUUUUGUUGUUUACCGAUGUGGGACUAUAGGAUGUCGCGUGCUGUGAAGAGUUUGAAUUCUACUCGGUUUCGAUACCUGAAUCUCAUUAAAAUUCCUGGCUUUUAUAUUUGUACCAAAGUUUCAUGCUCGCUGGUCUCGCUCUCUGUCUCAUCGCGUCUGCAUAUCAGUCGGCAUCCAAAUCCACAGGCCUUUUGAAAUGCUCCCAGGCGAUCAUGCUUGAACUGGCCCCACUCCAUUUCCUCGUUCGUUUGAGUCCACAUGCA
rnacentral:lncRNA from 1 species